rnacentral:rRNA from 1 species
GAACCUGCCUCAUACUCGGGAAUAGCCUUGCGAAAGUAAGAUUAAUGCCCGGUGUUUUCAGAGUCCCGCAUGAGGCUUUGAACAAAGAUUUAUCGGUAUGAGAUGGCGAUGCGUCCCAUUAGCUUGUUGGCGGGGUAACGGCCCACCAAGGCAUCGAUGGGUAGGGGUUCUGAGAGGAAGGUCCCCCACAUUGGAACUGAGACACGGUCCAAACUCCUACGGGAGGCAGCAGUGAGGAAUAUUGGUCAAUGGGCGGAAACCUGAACCAGCCAAGUAGCGUGCAGGAAGACGGCCCUCCGGGUUGUAAACUGCUUUUAGUUGGGAAUAAAACGGGGCUCGUGAGCCCCCUUGCAUGUACCAUCAGAAAAAGGACCGGCUAAUUCCGUGCCAGCAGCCGCGGUAAUACGGAAGGUCCGGGCGUUAUCCGGAUUUAUUGGGUUUAAAGGGAGCGCAGGCGGACCUUUAAGUCAGCUGUGAAAUACGGCGGCUCAACCGUCGAACUGCAGUUGAUACUGGAGGUCUUGAGUGCACACAGGGAUGCUGGAAUUCAUGGUGUAGCGGUGAAAUGCUCAGAUAUCAUGAAGAACUCCGAUCGCGAAGGCAGGCAUCCGGGGUGCAACUGACGCUGAGGCUCGAAAGUGCGGGUAUCAAACAGGAUUAGAUACCCUGGUAGUCCGCACAGUAAACGAUGAAUACUCGCGGUUUGCGAUACAAUGUAAGCCGCCAAGCGAAAGCGUUAAGUAUUCCACCUGGGGAGUACGCCGGCAACGGUGAAA